GGGAGGGCGGAAGGCACGGGACGUGGAGCAGAGGGUGAGGAUAGUGGGGAGGUAGCCGCAGAGGAUGACCCGAGGCAAAAGUGCAAGUGAGGAAAAGUCGCCUUGCAGGGCAGAGGUACCGGACCAAGGCGCCUCCUCUGGGCUGAGGAGUUAGAGGGAAGAAAAUGGCGCCCUGUCAUGAGGGCGUGAGGUCCGAGUUGAGGGGAGAAGACUGAGGGGCACAGAAGUGGCCGAAGUGAGGGCACUGAGGUCAGCCUGAGCUGAGAGGGCCGGCAGAUCACGCCGCAGCCGAAGUGAACGAACUCGAGUGAGGAAAUUACUCCAGGAUUUGAAUCAUCACAAGAGAUUCACCAGAGGAUUUUAUACACUUGGGCUGUGGCAGCAGACUAAUUACACCACAGCACUAGGCUAAAGAAGAAAAAUCACAUGAUCAUAUCAAUAGAUGCAGAAAAAGCAUCUGACAAAAACCAGCUCUCAUUCAUGAUCAGAACUCUCAGCAAACUAGUAAUAGAGGGGAACUUACUCAACUUGAUAAAGAACAUAUGCAAAAAUCUUUCAGCUAACAUUGUACUUAAUGGUAAGAAAUUGAAGCUUUCCCACUAAGAUCAGGAGCAAGGCAAGGACGUCUCCUUUGACCAACCCUUUUCAACAUCAUAUUUAUUGGAAAUCCUAGCAAUAAGACAAGAAAACGAAGUAAAAAGUAUACAGAUUGAGAAGAAGAAAAUAGAACUGCCUUUGUUUGCAGAUGACAUGAUUAUCUAUGUAGAAAAUCUGAAAGAAUUGACCAAAAAAAACCCUCCUGGAGCUAAUAAGCAAUGAUAACAAGGUGGCAAAAAUAGGUUGAUAUACAAAAGUUAAUUGCUUUUCUAUAUGCCAGCAACAAACAAAUGAGAUUUGAAAUUAAAACCAAAAUCCCAUUUACAAUAAUACCCCCAACUUAAAUACUUAGGCAUAAAACUAACAAAAAUAUGUAAGACCUUUAUGAGGGAAGUUAUAAAACUCUGAUGAAGAUAUAAAAAGCUAAAUAAAAGGAGAGAGAUUCCAUGUUUAUGGAUAGGAAGACUCAAUAUUACCAAGACAUCACUUCUUCCCAACUUGAUGUAUAGAUCCAAGGCAGACCAAACCAAAAUCCCAGAAAAUAAUUUCCUGGAUAUUAACAGAAUCUUUUUUUUUUUUUUUUCCUGAAACGGAGUCUCGCUGUGUUGCCCAGGCUGGAGUGCAGUGGGGCGAUCUCGGCUCACUGCAAGGUCCGCCUCCCAGGUUCACGCCAUUCUCCUGCCUCAGCUUCCCGAGUAGCUGGGACUACAGGCGCCCGCCACCACGCCCGGCUAAUUUUUUGUAUUUAUAGUAGAGAUGGGGUUUCACCCUGUUCACCAGGAUGGUCUCAAUCUCCUGACCUCGUGAUCCCCCCGCCUCGGCCUCCCAAAGUGCUGGGAUUACAGGCGUGAGCCACUGUGCCUGGCCUAUUAACAGAUUCUUAAGUUUAUAAGGACAGGCAAAAGACCUAGUAUAGCAAACAUAAUAUUGAAGAAGCACAAAGUUGGAGGACUGUCACUACCCGACUUCAAGACUUACUAUAAAGCUACAGUAAUAAGGACAGUAUGGUAUUUGCAAAAUAAUAGAAAAAUAGAUCAAUGGAACAGAAUAGAGAGCACAGGUAUAGACCCAUACAAAUACUAUCAACUGAUUUUUUUUAAAAAAGAGCAAAGGGAAUACAAUGGAGAAAAGAUAAGUUUUCAACAAAUGGUGCUGAACAAGGGGAUGUUCACAUGCAAAAAGAUGAAUCUAGACACAGAUCUUAAAACUUCACAAAAAUCAGCUCAAAAUGGAUUAUAGACUGAAAUGGAAAAUGCUGAACUAUGAAACUCCUAGAAGAUAACAUAGAAGAAAAUCUAGAUGACCUUGGGUUUGAGGUGAAUAUUUUAGAUCCAACACCAAAGGCAUGAUCCAUGAAAGAAAUAAUUGAUAAGUUGUACUUCAUUAAAUUAAAAACGUUUAAUCUGUGAAAGCACUGUCAAGAGAAUGAAAUGACAAGCCACAGACUGGGAGAAAACAUUUGCAAAGUACAUUUGAUAAAGGACUGGUGUCCAAAGUACUCUAAAAACUCACCAAAGAAGACAUACAGAUAGCAAAUAAGCAUAUGAAAUUGUCGACAUUGUAUGCCAUUAGCAAAUUGCAAAUUAAAACGAGAUACCACUACAUACGUAUUAGAAUGGCUCAAAUGCAAAACAUUAACAACAUCAAAUGCCAAAUGCUGGUGCAGCAAGAACUCUUCAUUCAUUGCUGGUGGGAAUGCAUAAUGGUAGAGCCGUUACACAGUGCCAAUCAUAAUCCGAAAGACAAAAUCCCAAAUGCCAUAAUCUCAAAUGCCUAUGAAGUGUUCGGUUGUGUUUUUAUGUUUCUCAAACAAACCUCCUUUACAAAUGUAAGUAAAUCUCUUUAAAAAAUUGUUUUUUAAUUAUCUUUCCAGAAUUAUAUUGUGAUUUUGGUCUAUCAGGAUCAGGAUUUUUGGGAUUUUAGACUUUAGGGAUUUUGAUCUUUUGGGAUUUCAACAUUUGAUAUUACAGCAUUUGCAAUUGUAUCUUUCAGGAGUAUGACCCAAACCCCAGCCAUGUAGAAAACAGUUUGAUAAUUUCUUAAAAAACUAAACACCCAGCCACUGUUGAAAAUAGUUUGUCAAUUUCUUAAAAAAACUAAACACACUUUUGCCAUACAAUCCAGUAAUCAUGUGCCUUGGUAUUUACUCAGAUGAGUUGAAAAGUUAUGUCCCCAUAAAACCUGCAUGCAGAUGUUUAUAGCAGCUUUAUUCAUAAUUGUCAAAAAUUGGAGGCAACCAAAUUGUCUCUUAGUAGGUGAAUGGAUAAAUAAACUGUAGUACAUCCAGACAAUGGAAUAUUUUUCAGUGCUAAAAAGAAAUAAGCUAUCGGCUGGGUACAGUGGCUCACGCCUAUAAUCCGAGCAGUUUGGGAGGCCGAGGUGGAUGGAUCACUUGUGCCCAAGAGUUCGAGACCACCCUGGCCAACAUGGCAAAAACCUGUCUCUACAAAAAAUACAAAAAUUAGCCAAAUGUGGUGGCAUGUGCCUGUAGUCCCAGCUACUUGGGGGGACUGAGAGAGGAGGAUUGCUUGAGCCCGGAAAGGAGAGGCUGCAGUGAGCCAUGUUUGUGCCACUGCAUUCCAGCCUGAGCACAGAGUGAGACCCUGUCUCAAAAAAAAAAAAAAAAAAGAAAAAAGGAAAAGAAAAAGAAGCCAUCAAGCUAUGAAAAGACAUAGAGAAAUCUUAAAUGCACAUUGCUAAGUGAAAUGAGCCAAUCUGAAAAAGCUAUAUACUAUAUGACUUCAACCAUAUGACAUUCUGGAAAAGACAAAACUAUGGAGACAGUAGAAAGGUCAAUGGUUGUGAGAGAUUGGAGGGAGGGAGGAAAAACUGUGAAGAAUGUAGGGAAUUUUUAGGGCAGUGAAACUAUUCUAUAUGGUACUAUAAUGGUGAAUGAAUGUCCUUAUGUGUUUGUCAAAACCCAUAGAAUGUACAACACCAAAAGUGAACUCUAAUGUAAACCAUGGACUUUGGAUGAUAAUAAAAUGUCAAUAUAGGCUAGUUGAUUGUAACAAAGGCAGGAGGUGUUAAUUGUGGGGAGGCUGUGUGUGUGUGUGUGUGUGUGUGUGUGUAUGUGUAUGUAUGUGUGUGUGAGGGAGCAAAAGUCAAAAAGGAAAUUCUCUGCACUUUCUGCUCUAUUUUGCUGUGAACUUAAAACUGCUCUAAAAAAUAAAGUUGAUUUUUUUAAAAA